GGCCUGUUCUGGUAAGUAUUUGAUGUUUAAGCGAUAAGUGCGGAUUGCAAAUCCGUUUACAGCGGUUCGAUUCCGCUUGAGGCCUCCA
rnacentral:tRNA from 1 species